ACUGACAACAAGAGAGGAGGAAGCCUGGAA
rnacentral:piRNA from 1 species